GGGGAAGGCUGAAGGUGUUUCAAGCACUCAAUUAUUAUGCUACUAAAACUCAGGUGUUCCUCAUAGAGAAUCACCUCUAUUAAAGUCUUGAUAUUUAUAGCAAGAAUAGAAAUAUCUGUACAAAGCAUCAGAGAACUGUUUAUUGAAAAUCGUACCAAGACGUGUUAAAUUCUUGUUUUUAUUAGCACAUUCCUUAGGAGUCCUAAUGAUGGCAUAUUCAUUCAGUCCUCUGAGAAAAGAACCAGAAUACUCAAUUAGCAGAACAGUAGCCUAGGAAAAACAAAUAAACAAACAAACAAUAACAACAACAACAAAAAAAAACACACUGAUUCAGUUCAUCAGGGGAUUAGAGGAAAAACAGAUAAGGCCAACGGGACUGCAAGUCUGAGCAUCAGGUGAAAGAAGCAGCCAAAAGGGGGAAAAAAGGGAUGUGAGUCACCAGAUCUGCUAUCUCAUCAAAGCGAUAUGAAGUAUAAUAGAAGGCAGGAAGCAGAAAGCAAAGCAGAAAGAAACUCUGAGGUGAUGAAGUUAUCAAAGCUCUGGACCCGCAAACCUUCUCUAAGCAUGACUGUUUUCCUAUGAAGCCACAUAAGGAUCAGGCCCUGCUUCUGACCAGGAUCAUUACAAAAGACAUGGGAAGGUGGAAGGAAAUUUUCUCCAGGGAAGAGUAAAAAUGGCACUGUACCAAACAGAAAGCCCACAGAGCUCCUCUGGACCAACAGUUACACAGCUGGAGCUCUUUUCAGCUGCUCUGGAGAAAUGUACUUUGAACUAUUUUUAGUGUUUUAUCACUUUUCCAUGAAAAAUCACUUAGACUGAAACAUAGCACUCAAAGAUACGAUAUGAGAGUGUGAAGGAUUUCAUAAAAAUCCUCUAAAAAAGAAAGAAAGAAAGAAAUAUAUUGUGCUUAAUUCUAAGUUAAAUAUACACAAAGAAAAACAAAUAGGCUUACCAGUUUGAACUGCUUUCCCUCCCUUAUGCUUGUGGAACUUAAACAAGCUUUUAUUUGAAACAUGGUAUUUUCCAGACCCUUAAGACCUUUGCUUGAAUUAGGCAUUCCUGGAAUUUCUGAUUUAAAAUUGAAAUGACUGAGUGGCAAAUACAACAGAAUAAGAGCACAAGCUCUGUGCUUUGGUAACUUUAUUUAUAGCAUGUUUUAUUGCAUGUAUCAAUAUUAAAAUCUCUCUAUAAAAUUUAACUAAGGAUUGAAAUAACACUACAGGUAAGAUUAUAUUCCCAUCAAACUAUUCUGUUGUUUUCAUGUUAUGGCACAUCGCAAAACCAAUGUUCCAUUUUACCAUUAAACAGCCACAGUUUCUUUGGGCCACAAUUCACUAAUGCAUUUAAGUGUGCGGCUAAUGUUAGGCAUACAACUGAUUCCAUUGGUUUCAACAGGACUAUUC
rnacentral:lncRNA from 1 species